rnacentral:snRNA from 1 species
GGAUGUAAGGGUUAUCUGCUUGUGACAUCUGUCACUCCAAUGAUCACCGGUGUUGAUCUAGCUGGUUAGGCAGGUAUCCCUUUCCUCCCUCACUAUUCCAUGGGCAUCAUUCCUGAAGCUGCAUGCUUGGUCAAUGCCGUUCCUGGAAUACAGCAGGACUGGUCAAGGCUAUACAAGUAGCUACACUCUCCUACUAGAACUUCCAAAUACGACCUCAAGAGAACUCGCAUACUACCAGGAGACUUAUCCAAACACUGCGACAAAGGGAUUAAUCUAU